rnacentral:rRNA from 1 species
UCGCUACUACCGAUUGAAUGGCUUAGUGAGUACCACGGACUGUUGCGUUCGAUCGGUUUACCUUUCGUUCGUGGUGGGAAGUGGUGCAAACUUGACCAUUUAGAGGAAGUAA